GUGCCAGCAGCCGCGGUAAGACAGAGGCCCCAAGCGUUAGGCGGAAUCACUGGGCUUAAAGCGCGUGUAGGCGGACCGUUAAGUGCCUUGUGAAAUCCCGCGGCUCAACCGCGGAACCGCUGGGCAUACUGGCGGUCUUGGGCCACUCAGGGGUCACUGGAACAAGCGGUGGAGCGGUGAAAUGCGUAGAUAUCGCUUGGAACGCCGAAGGUGAAGACAGGUGACUGGGGGUGUGCCGACGCUGAGACGCGAAAGCCAGGGGAGCAAACGGGAUUAGAUACCCCCGUAGUCC
rnacentral:rRNA from 1 species